GGUCGCCUAGCUCAGCUGGUUAGAGCGUGGUGCUAAUAACGCCAAGGUCGCGGGUUCGAUCCCCGUGGUGAUCA